rnacentral:rRNA from 1 species
UCUGUAGGCUGAUGAAGGUGCAUUGAGAAGUGUGCUGGAGGUAUCAGAAGUGCGAAUGCUGACAUGAGUAACGAUAAUGUGGGUGAAAAGCCCACACGCCGGAAGUCCCAGGUUUCCUGCACGACGUUAAUCGGAGCAGGGUGAGUCGGCCCCUAAGGCGAGGCUGAAGAGCGUAGUCGAUGGGAACCAGGUUAAUAUUCCUGGACUUUUUAUAAGUGGUGAAGUGGGGACGAAGAAGGCUAGGUGAGCCAGGCGUUGGUUGUCCUGGUACUUGCAUGUAGGGGGGAAGACUUGGCAAAUCCGGUUUUCCAUAACUCUGAGGUGCGAAGUGGUUCUGACCUUUUGGUACAGAGAAGUCAUUGAUGCCCGGCUUCCAGGAAAAGCUGCUAGCCAUAACUUAUAGAGAACCGUACCGCAAACCGACACAGGUGGACAGGUAGAGAAUACUAAGGCGCUUGAGAGAACUCGGGUGAAGGAACUAGGCAAAAUGGUACCGUAACUUCGGGAGAAGGUACGCCCUUUUGGGUGAGGGCAUUUACUGUCUGAGCUUAAGAGGGCCGCAGAGACCAGGUGGCUGCGACUGUUUAUUAAAAACACAGCACUCUGCAAAUUCGUAAGAAGACGUAUAGGGUGUGACGCCUGCCCGGUGCCGGAAGGUUAAUUGAUGGGGUUAUCUUCGGAGAAGCUCUUGAUCGAAGCCCCGGUAAACGGCGGCCGUAACUAUAACGGUCCUAAGGUAGCGAAAUUCCUUGUCGGGUAAGUUCCGACCUGCACGAAUGGCGUAACGAUGGCCACACUGUCUCCACCCGAGACUCAGUGAAAUUGAAAUCGCUGUGAAGAUGCAGUGUACCCGCGGCUAGACGGAAAGACCCCGUGAACCUUUACUAUAGUUUUGCACUGGACUUUGAUGAUGACUGUGUAGGAUAGGUGGGAGGCUGUGAAGUGAGAACGCUAGUUCUCAUGGAGCCGCCCUUGAAAUACCACCCUGUUGUUAUUGAGGUUCUAACUUGGUCCAGUAAUCCUGGAUGAGGACAGUGUAUGAUGGGUAGUUUGACUGGGGCGGUCUCCUCCCAAAGAGUAACGGAGGAGCACAAAGGUACCCUCGGUACGGUCGGACAUCGUACCAAGAGUGUAAAGGCAAAAGGGUGCUUGACUGCGAGAGUGACGGCUCGAGCAGGAACGAAAGUUGGUCUUAGUGAUCCGGUGGUUCUGAAUGGAAGGGCCAUCGCUCAACGGAUAAAAGGUACUCCGGGGAUAACAGGCUGAUACCGCCCAAGAGUUCAUAUCGACGGCGGUGUUUGGCACCUCGAUGUCGGCUCAUCACAUCCUGGGGCUGAAGCAGGUCCCAAGGGUAUGGCUGUUCGCCAUUUAAAGUGGUACGCGAGCUGGGUUUAGAACGUCGUGAGACAGUUCGGUCCCUAUCUGCCGUGGGCGUAGGAAAAUUGAGAGGAGCUGCUCCUAGUACGAGAGGACCGGAGUGGACGAACCUCUGGUGCACCGGUUGUCACGCCAGUGGCAUGGCCGGGUAGCUAAGUUCGGACGGGAUAACCGCUGAAAGCAUCUAAGCGGGAAGCCUCCCUCAAGAUGAGUUUUCCCAUGAAGCCCGUUGAAGACUACGACGUUGAUAGGCAAGGUGUGGAAGCGCAGUAAUGCGUGAAGCUAACUUGUACUAAUUGGCUGAUUG